GAUGAACGCUGGCGGCGUGCCUAAUACAUGCAAGUCGAGCGAACGGACGCGAAGCUUGCUUCUCUGAUGUUAGCGGCGGACGGGUGAGUAACACGUGGAUAACCUACCUAUAAGACUGGGAUAACUUCGGGAAACCGGCGCUAAUACCGGAUAAUAUUUUGAACCGCAUGGUUCAAAAGUGAAAGACGGUCUUGCUGUAACUUAUAGAUGGAUCCGCGCUGCAUUAGCUAGUUGGUAAGGUAAAGGGUUACCAAGGGAACGAGGCAUAGCCGACCGGUGUGGGGGAUAGGCCACACUGGAGCGGGGACACGGUCCAGGCUCCUGCGGGAGGCAGCAGUAGGGAAUCUUCGGCAAUGGGCGGAAGCCUGACGGAGCAACGCCGCGUGAGAGAUGAAGGUCUUCGGAUCGUAAAACUCUGUUAUUAGGGAAGAACAGAUGUGUAAGUAACUGUGCACAUCUUGACGGUACCUAAUCAGAAAGCCACGGCUAACUACGUG
rnacentral:rRNA from 1 species